AAGGCUUGUAAAACUCUAAUUUACAUCUCCUG
rnacentral:tRNA from 1 species